rnacentral:rRNA from 1 species
AACGAACGCUGGCGGCAGGCCUAACACAUGCAAGUCGAGCGGACCUUUCGGGGUCAGCGGCGGACGGGUGAGUAACGCGUGGGAAUAUGCCCUUCUCUACGGAAUAGUCCUGGAAAACUGGGGGUAAUACCGUAUACGCCCUUUGGGGGAAAGAUUUAUCGGGGAAGGAUUAGCCCGCGUUGGAUUAGGUAGUUGGUGGGGUAAUGGCCUACCAAGCCGACGAUCCAUAGCUGGUUUGAGAGGAUGAUCAGCCACACUGGGACUGAGACACGGCCCAGACUCCUACGGGAGGCAGCAGUGGGGAAUCUUAGACAAUGGGGGCAACCCUGAUCUAGCCAUGCCGCGUGAGUGAUGAAGGCCUUAGGGUUGUAAAGCUCUUUCAGCUGGGAAGAUAAUGACGGUACCAGCAGAAGAAGCCCCGGCUAACUCCGUG